CGGCCCACCUAGCCUACGACGGGUACGGGCCCUGAGAGGGGGAGCCCGGAGAUGGGCACUGAGACAAGGGUCUAGGCCCUAAGGGGUGCAGCAGGCGCGAAGAUUCCGCAAUGCCCGAAAGGGCGACGGAGUGAACCCGAGUGCCACCCGCUGAGGGUGGCUGUUCCCCUGUGUAAAAAGCAGGGGGUAGAAAGGGGAGGGCAAGGCUGGUGGCAGCCGCCGCGGUAAAACCAGCUCCCCGAGGGGUUCCCACGCAUACUGGGCCUAAAGCGUCCGUAGCCGGCCCUGCAAGUCUGCAGUUAAAUCCGCCUGUAGACAGGCGGGCUGCUGCAGAUACUGCAGGGCUAGGGAGCGGGAGGAGCCGGGGGUGUUCCCGGGGGAGCGGUAAAAUGCGUAGAUCCCGGGAGGACCACCAGUGGCGAAGGCGCCCGGCUUGAACGCGUCCGACGGUGAGGGACGAAAGCUGGGGGAGCAAACCGGAUUAGAUACCCGGGUAGUCCCAGCCGUAAACGGUGCCGGCUAGGUGCUGGCCAAGGUUUCGGCCUUGGCCAGUGUCGAAGCGAAGGCAUUAAGCCGGCCGCCUGAGGAGUACGGCCGCAAGGCUGAAACUUGAAGGAAUUGACGGGGGGGCACCACAAGGGGUGAAUGCCUGCGGCUUAAUUGGACUCAACGCCGGGAAUCUUACCGGGGGCGACAGCAGGAUGAAGGUCAGGCUGAAGACCUUACCAGACGCGCUGAGGGGUGGUGCAUGGCCGUCGCCAGCUCGUGCCGUGAGGUGUCCUGUUAAGUCAGGCAACGAGCGAGACCCCCGCCCCUAGUUGCCAGCGGCCUCCUUCGGGAGGGACCGGGCAAACUAGGGGGACCGCCUCCGAAGAGGAGGAGGAAGGUGGGGGCUACGGCAGGUCAGUAUGCCCCUAAUCCCCCGG
rnacentral:rRNA from 1 species